rnacentral:rRNA from 1 species
GGUUGGACAAGAAAUAAUCUGUCUUAAAUUAAUAUAUUGAAUUUAACUUUUAAGUGAAAAGGCUUAAAUAAUCUGAAGGGACGAUAAGACCCUAUAAAACUUUAUAUUUAUAGAUUAGUAGUUAGUUUUAUUUAAAAAUACUAUUUUAGAAUAUUUGGUUGGGGUGGCAAGGAUAAAAUAUAAAAUAACUGUCUUUUUUUUUUUUACAAUAAUAUUUGGUUUAAUGAUCCUUAAAAGGAUUAAAGAUUAAGUUACUUUAGGGAUAACAGCGUAAUUUUCUUUAAGAGUUCAUAUCGACAAGAAAGUUUGCGACCUCGAUGUUGAAUUAAAAGUUCUUUAUAGAGUAGAGACUAUAAAAGAAGGUCUGUUCGACCUUUAAA